rnacentral:rRNA from 1 species
GACGUAGGGCGCGAGCGUUGUCCGGAUUUAUUGGGCGUAAAGAGCUCGUAGGCGGCUUGUCGCGUCGACCGUGAAAAACUUGGGGCUCAACCCUAAGCCUGCGGUCGAUACGGGCAGGCUAGAGUUCGGUAGGGGAGACUGGAAUUCCUGGUGUAGCGGUGAAAUGCGCAGAUAUCAGGAGGAACACCGAUGGCGAAGGCAGCUCGCUGGGACGGUACUGACGCUGAGGCGCGAAAAGCGUGGGGGAGCAAACAGG